CCUACGGUAGGCAGCAGUGGGGAAUAUUGGACAAUGGGGGGAACCCUGAUCCAGCGACGCCGCGUGAGUGAAGAAGUAUUUCGGUAUGUAAAGCUCUAUCAGCAGGGAAGAAAGAAAUGACGGUACCUGACUAAGAAGCCCCGUCUAACUACGUGCCAGCAGCCGCGGUAAUACGUAGGGGGCAAGCGUUAUCCGGAUUUACUGGGUGUAAAGGGAGCGUAGACGGCGAUGCAAGUCUGAAGUGAAAGGCGGGGGCCCAACCCCCGGACUGCUUUGGAAACUGUAUGGCUGGAGUGCAGGAGAGGUAAGUGGAAUUCCUAGUGUAGCGGUGAAAUGCGUAGAUAUUAGGAGGAACACCAGUGGCGAAGGCGGCUUACUGGACUGUAACUGACGUUGAGGCUCGAAAGCGUGGGGAGCAAACAGGAUUAGAUACCCGAGUAGUC
rnacentral:rRNA from 1 species